AUUGAACGCUGGCGGCAUGCUUUACACAUGCAAGUCGAACGGUAACAGGGUGCUUGCACCGCUGACGAGUGGCGAUCGGGUGAGUAAUGCGUCGGAACGUGCCGAGUAGUGGGAUAACGCAGCGAAAGUUGUGCUAAUACCGCAUACGUACUGAGGUAGAAAGUGGGGGACCUUCGGGCCUCACGCUAUUCGAGCGGCCGACGUCUGAUUAGCUAGUAGGUGAGGUAAAGGCUCACCUAGGCGACGAUCAGUAGCGGGUCUGAGAGGAUGAUCCGCCACACUGGGACUGAGACACGGCCCAGACUCCUACGGGAGGCAGCAGUGGGGAAUUUUGGACAAUGGGCGAAAGCCUGAUCCAGCCAUGCCGCGUGUCUGAAGAAGGCCUUCGGGUUGUAAAGGACUUUUGUCAGGGAGGAAAUCCCUAGUGCUAAUAACACUGGGGGAUGACAGUACCUGAAGAAUAAGCACCGGCUAACUACGUGCCAGCCGCCGCCGUAA
rnacentral:rRNA from 1 species